rnacentral:rRNA from 1 species
UACGAAGGGGGGCUAGCGUUGCUCGGAAUCACUGGGCGUAAAGGGUGCGUAGGCGGGUCUUUUAAGUCAGGGGUGAAAUCCUGGAGCUCAACUCCAGAACUGCCUUUGAUACUGAAGAUCUUGAAUUCGGGAGAGGUGAGUGGAACUGCGAGUUGUAGAGGUGAAAUUCGUAGAUAUUCGCAAGAACACCAGUGGCGAAGGCGGCUCACUGGCCCGAUACUGACGCUGAGGCACGAAAGCGUGGGGAGCAAACAGG